ACAGAGAGGACUAAUAUUGCUAGUGGUGACGACGAUAGAAAUAUUAUUUUAUAAAAAACUUUUAGGCGGAAAUGAAACAAGAAAAAUAAAAAGUAAAAAACAAAGAAUAAAAAAAUUAGAAAAAAGAAAUGAGUAAAAGAGCGGCUAAAGUUUUAGUGUUUCAUUAGAAUGAAAAUACUUAUCGAUAAGUCAUAUUAAAUUGAUCCCUCAACUUCAAAAGUUCAAAUCUUUUUUAUUAACUGUCGAAUAUUUUAUCGGAUCUGGAUCCAGAUACGGAUCCGAAUUUGAAAACUAUUCCGGACCCUAUAUAUUUAAAAGUUGGGUUCAGUUCGGGUUCAAAUCGGGCAUGAGUAUAAAAUAUCCAGAUCCAUACUCGAUAUUUUAAUGGGUAAUAUCUUUUACCUGUAUACUAUCCAUUUUUUAUCGGUCCGGUUUGGAUCCGGAUAGGGUCCAGGUAGGGUCCAGACCGAGUAUGAUAUAUCGAAUAUUUUGAACAGCUUUACUAUGUAUUCUACUAUAAAUCGGUAGGCUCAACAAUCUCUAUCUAUAACCGCAGGUAUCUACGGAUUAUUCGCAC
rnacentral:lncRNA from 1 species